UGGAGGGUCGGGGUAAAAUAGGUGGUUCGUAGGCAAGGGUCAGCUGUCUCUCCUUUUUAUAUUACACUUUUAGAUUAUGAACCAUGGGCACAUAAUAUUGAAUAGCAAACUAAUUCGAAAAAGUCUUUCAAGUUGUGUAGUAAAUGUUAGGAAAGAAAUAGGGCAAUAACAGAAAGGAGUGGCAAGUUCUCCUUAAAGCACCUUCAGAAGAUGAAACUGAAAAUGUGAGGGGGAGGGGUUAGGUGGAACAAGGCCCGGAGUGGGAGGAGAGAGGCUCAGGGCCCAGAGGAAGCUCUUGCAACAACGGAGGAGAAAGGGCCUUCUGUGGUGGCGGGUGGAAAAUGGUGAGGAGGCGGCGAGGAAAAUGGAGAGGGCGCUGCCAGGAUUCCAUCUCGGCCGAAAGCAGGCGUUGAUGUAGUGAUAUUUACACUCGUCGGACCUGCAAAAUGCUCUGCAGAAUGCUCGUGGGCCUGAAAAGAACGAGUUCUCAGACCUUACUGGUGUAAAUGGGAAUUGUCCCGGCGUCGGGGGCUGAAUAUUCCAGGCAGCCACGUUUAUGGUGGUAAACACAGUAAACAAAGAAAAGGACAUGAACAACAUAAUUAUUAGAUGAGCUGAGGCGCCUUCACGCCGUGCAUCAAUAUUCAGCCAUUCGUAGAGUAAAGCCGGACAGGACUUCGGGUUUCCAAGGUGUGCUAGAAAAGCAAGAUGCCAGUGUAGUAUGCUAUGCGAUGCCAUCUUAGAAAACAAAAGGAAUCACUGUGAGUGUGUGUGUGUGUGUGUGUGUAUGUGUGUGUGCGCGCGCGCGCGCGCACGCGCUCGCGCGCCCCCGUAGUUUUACGUGAGCAUGGGGGUAAAUACGCUGGCCAAAAUUGGGAUGGCGGAAGCAGAAGGAGAGAGGGGGAAAAUCCUCAACACUUGCAGAGUAAAACGAGCAAGUGCAAAAUAAAAAACAAAAAAGCUACGUAGGGCGCCAGGGUCGCAGGUAAAGACCGUGAGGCAGGGCUGAUCCGGGCGCAGGCCAAGCGGCACCGGACCAGGGGCACCUCCGGCUUCGCCGCCGGUGGCUAUACUUCCAGUCCGAGGAUGUCCGCUCGGCUCGCGUACCUCGGUGCGAGCUUCCCCCGAGCUCUUUGUUAAUGGAGGGUGGGGAGAAAGCGGGGCAGGCGCCUAGCGCACCGGGCAGCGGCGGCUUGGGGGGUGGGGCGGGGACGGCCCAACGAGUUGCUCGCCUCGCUGCCCUUCCCCCACCGCCCGGCCGCAGCCCCUGCCGGCCGCCCGGGUCUCGUCCCGCCUCACGGCCGGCGCUCCCCGGCCCGGGCCGCUCCGCACGCCUCGCCGCCUGCUGGGCUACUGAUGCCCUCCAUCCACACAAAGACGCGUGCGCCCGGGCGGGGAGCGCAGGGGCUGGCACGCACCACCGGCGGGCCUUCUGUCUGCACCCCCUCUCCCGGCCGCCGCCGGCGCACUCCCACGGCCCCCACUCCCUCGUCUCUCGUCUGAGCCGCCAUUUGCUCCUCGCCUCCCCGACUCAGCUACCGGUAAUCUCAGAUCUACUUUCCAUCUCUUCGCAAGAGGAGCAUGGGAAUAUGGAGACAUGAACUGAUUCAAGGAAUCUGGCCUGGGGAAGGCCUCAUGCACAGAUUCUGAGCAGACAGGGUCUUGUCUUAAAGAGCCUUGAACCAAAUUUACUACCAGCCUUAUCCCAACUCCCAUUCCCCCAGCUUCAAAGAGAAUACAGGUGACCACAGACUCCGAAGUCUUGCAGGUUGGUGCAGACUUUUGAGAACCUGUUGUACAUCUCUCACCCUUGUUCCAAUGGGUACUAUUUGUUAACACUAGAAUUCAUACUGUCCCACAUUUGAUCUUUCCCUCCUCAACCACAAACUUCUACUUCCUUCUACUAUUGUCUUCAGAAUGCCAAUAUUCUGUGUCCCAGUUUCAUCUUGGGCACCAAGGAGUAGGAUGAACUUUAUAGUUCUGAAAUUCUAGGUUCAGAAAAUAGUGCUGUGGAGCACAAGGUGGGUGGGUUUCACUGUCACUCAUGCCUGCACCUGUGAACAGGGAACCUCCUGAGGAAACACAUAUGGUCUCAUCAUAUUCCACAGCCACCCAGCCACAUCUCUCAAGGCCUGACUUCCUUUCCUCCCCACGCCCCACCCUCUGGGCAGAAGUAGCUGAGAAGGUGCUUCUCCAGCUCUUUCCUCUUCCCUGCUUAGCUCUAUUAUAGUUCACUAGGCCAACACUUCUCUUAGAACCAAAGUGUUUCUAUUUAGGGGUCUGGGGAGCAAUUCCAUUUCCCUCUAUCUCACCUGGAUUUUCUGGCUUUCAGAAGAAAAUGAUCCACUCAGAGAUCAUGACUUAUUUCUUCCCAAGCAGUGAGUCAUAUUCACAGACAAACCUUAUCUCCUGGGCCACAACCUGGUUGGCUCCCAACUCACAGAACAUGAUCAAAGACUGUGUAUCUUUGUAUCUUUAUAUUAACUUGCACAUAAUUCAUUUAAACUUUGGAGAAAAACGCCUCAUCAUAUCCUCCUACCUCCCCACCACUUGUUUUAAUUUUCUCCACAGCUCAUCCGACAUACUAUACCAUCCUUCCUUCCUCCCUCCCUCCUUCCCUUUCUUCUUUCCUUCCUUCCUUUCAUACUGUUUUUCUCUCUCUCCUCAUUGGCCUAUAAACUUUUUGAAGAUAGGGCUUUUGUUUGUUUUGUUCAUUUCUGUAUCCAUAGGACCCAGCUCAAUGCCUGGCACAGGGUACUCAAUAAAUGUUGAAUAAACAAACUGUUGAAUGAAUAGUUGCUUAUCCUUACUUUUCUCUGGGUCCUACCACUCCCUCUCCUGCCACACGUUUUUACCUUGGCUUAACAGCUAAGGGAUCAUAUGACUAUAUAUGUUACAUCAGCUCUGGAGGGGAGUGUACUUCUCCACCUCUGACAUCUCCAUCUGCUGAAACCACAUGCACCUGGCAAGUCCUACCAACCUUCUCGUGGCACCAUCCUUUAACCUCCCACAAUAAUCUUACCAUGGUGAUCUAGAGCACUCCAAGCCUGCACCGCUCAACUACAGUUUAACAUUUUCUGCCUUGUGCUGAGAAUAUAAUUUUCCUGGAUGCAAUUUUCCUGAUGCAACAGGGAAGUCAACAAUAAGACAAGGGUAGUCUUUCCUUGGCGAAGCUAGCUUCCCACCCCUGCUCUCUCGUCUCCUACCCCUUUUCCACAGGUCCCCCUAGGCAGUACUUAAUUGCUGAAUUAAAAGAAGAACCCAGAUCUGGGCCUUACACUUUCAGGCUGGCCAACUGCAAGGGGACCCAUCUCUCAAACACUUUUAACUAAGUUCACACAGAGGCCAAGGGACAUAUAAACCAAAUGCCAAUCAAUGUAUGGAUUCAAAUGAAGAAUAACAGACAUUCUGAGGCUCUGGAAUGGUUGAAUUGACUUGACUGGCUGAUCUUUUCCUCAUGGUCUGAAGACUGCUUGGUAAAUAUGGAACUUAGAAUAAAAGUAACUGGGGCUCAGUCGGUUGAGCGUCCAACUCCUGGUUUUGACUCAGGUUAUCAUCUCACAGUUUGUGAGUUCAAGCCCCACAUUGGGCUCUGUGCUGACGGUGCAAAUACUGCUGGGGAUCCUCUCUCUCUCUCCCUCUCUCUCUCUGCCCCUCCCCUGCUUCUGCUCUCUCUCAAAAAUAAAUGGGGGAAAAAAUUAACUUAAAAAAAAAAAAAGUAACCUGAAGUCACAUCUCUCCUUUAGGGCAGGGCCCUUCUUCCCUGCUGUAAGAGCAGUCUGACCAAGGAAAUCAUGGAGCUCAAGUCCCCUUAGUCAAGACCUACCCUUCUUUAGGCAGUGCUGGUGCUUCCAAGGAUGGCCAAAUCCCUCGUGUUCAGGUCCCCAAAACACUUUAUAACACAAUUGAUCAGACUUAACCAAAAUUAUGACCAUUUUCCAGCCCUUCCUUCCUGAGAUUGCUCUCAGUCAUCUGAUCAAUGUUCUGGGUGUCCUCAAACUUUCAGGCAAUACACUUGAAAUUUCAUGGUUUACUUUCCUGGAUAGUUAAUCACCCAUCACAUGUAAUUUUACUGGCCUGAAGGGAAACUCAUUUCCUGUCACUUAGGUGUGCAGGCUGUAUUAGACAAAACAAAAGACAUUUCUCCAAUUAGACUAUAAGCACCUAAGGGUCCAUACCUUGUAGGUUUUAAUAAAUAUGCCAUGAGUCAGGACAGCAAGGACUGCUUUGCCAGCAAAGAGAAAGAAAAAAAUGAAAACAAAAACAAAUGCCUAUUCAAAGUGACCCUGAAUCAAGUAGGCUCAUCUGUUCUCUUGAUUGGAAACUACCUGCCUUGCUCAAAACCAUGGAGUAUUUACUUACAAAGUUCUGGGUUUUAAGGAAUUACUCCAAGAUACCUGAGUCCUUAUUAGCUUGCCUCAUCUUGGGAAUUUUUUUAACUAUUGUGCUAGCCAAGUUCAAGAAUUAAAAGAAUGAAAAUGGAGAGGGGACUUCUGCCUUUGUUGCCUUUCUCUUGUCUCUUGCAGUUCCACGUACAACUCAGCAGUGAGUAUGAGCCGCCACUCUCACAACAUAAUACAGAGAACACAGCCGUCCCCGAGGUACAUUGGAUCCAACUUACUCAGACACCACAUUUCUGCCUUUUGCCUUGCUGACUGGCAAAUGAGCAAUGGUUUGUAGAAGCAGCAGGUGCAAGGAGAGGUGGCUCCUGCCAGGUGCUAAAAAAAGGCUCAACUCUGAUACACAGGAGUCCUUCCAUUAACACAUCCAUGACUGAGGCAAAGUGGGGGGAAGUCACCUCUUCUCUGUCUUUUGGAGUCACAAAUGCUGCCCUUUGUCAUUUAACCUGGUUUUGCUUUGAUACAAAUGGCAGGAGUGGCCAAGAGAGUGGGGGUAUGGAGGUGAAGCCCACACUGUAACAUGCCUUCACUCAUACCCUCUGGGAUGGUCCUGGGCAUCACACAUCCUAGAGAAAGGCUGCCCAGGUACUGUUUCUUGCCACUGCCACAGAACCAAACUUUAGUAUGGACUCCCAAACACAUGACUCUACCAUAUCCUUGUGUGAGUUAUGUCAUUUAAGCUGGUGAACCACAGUUUCCUCUUCUAUGUAAAGGGAUGAUAAUUCCACUUAGCUCAUAGGACUGGUUGUGGAAAUCAAAUGAGAUGGUAACUUGUGUGAAAAACCUAAUACAUGGGAAUGCAAUCGGGUGCAGCCAUUCUGGAAAACAGUAUGGAGGUUCCUCAAAAAACUAAAACUAGAACUACCCUACGACCCAGCAAUUGCACUACUAGGUAUUUAUCCACGGGAUACAGGUGUGCUGUUUCGAAGAGACAGAUGCACCCCCAUGUUUAUAGCAGCACUAUCAACAAUAGCCAAAGUAUGGAAAGAGCCCAAAUGUCCAUCGAUGGAUGAAUGGAUAAAGAAGAUGUGGUAUAUAUAUACAAUGGAGUAUUACUCGGCAAUCAAAAAGAAGGAAAUCUUGCCAUUUGCAGCCAUGUGGAUGGAACUGGAGGGUAUUAUGCUAAGUGAAAUUAGAGAAAGACAAAAAUCAUAUGACUUCACUCAUAUGAGGACUUUGAGAGAAAACAGAGGAACAUAAGGGAAGGGAAACAAAAAUAGAAAAACAGGGAGGGGGGCAAAACAGAAGAGACUCAUAAAUAUGGAGAACAAACUGAGGGUUACUGGAUGGGUUGUGGGAGGAGGGGUGGGCUAAAUGGAUAAGGGCCACUAAGUAAUCUACUCCUGAAAUCAUUGUUGCACUAUAUGCUAACUAAUUUGGAUGUAAAUUUUAAAAAAGAAAAAGAAAAACCUAAUACAGUUUGUGACACAUGCUAAAUAGCACUUCAGGAUACAUUAGUUUUCCUCCUUCAAGAAGAUAGUCUUGCACUGUUUACUCAGACCAGCCUCCUACAUAAGCUACUGGAAGCUAGCUUGUCCCCAGGGAUCAGGCCAUCCCAGGAAAAAUGACUUGGCCACAGCAACGUAAUACGAGACGAAAGAUUCUGACAAGGCACAGCAACAGGAGAGAGACAACUGAAGGGUACCUGGCAGUGUGUGCCCUAGACAGGGUUCCCAGCAGGAAAUCCUGUGGUGCCUCAGUUAAGUAGUUUCACAAGGGCUGGGGCCCAGACAAAAACUCCAGUAACCACCCGUCCCUAAACUUUCAUUAGGCCCCAUGUUCAACUCAUCAGGUCGUGGAUGAGCCCCUUGCCCCCUUUUCUUUCAAAGCCACUGGGCAGGCUAUGGAGUUCACAUUAAGAAAAGGGAAGCGCUUCUCUUAAAAACCAGUACACGGAACUACACGAAGCCUUCUAAGGGCUACCGAGGGAUUAAUGGCCCUGCAAACUGGUUCUAAGGACCCAAUGGCAAAAGGUGGAUUUUAAGUUUCAUAUUUUGACUGACCACCUAUCCUGUGUUAGGGACAGACUAAUACAUCUCUUAAGUGGAUGGUACAAUCCGUAUUUUACAAAGGAAGAAACCGACACUCCGAAUACUGAAUGACUCGCCCAAGGCCAAGACUAAGCGGCGGGUCGGGAUUCAAAGCCCAGUCUCCUUCCAGAGCCCACAUUCCUCCUCUCUCCCGGCGCAGGCAGGAACGGCAAGAGUGGGGGCGGGCCAAUACUGGGAGGCCGGGGAGGAAGAAAGCCUGAGACACGGCGGGGAGGGGCCUGGGCGCGGCGACUCCUUCCCCGAAGAGCCGCGCGGUCUGCAGCUAGUGUGCGGCCCGGGCCCACGUGCCCCGAGUCCACUCCGCUGCCCUGAGGGCGCGCCGGCCGCUGCGCGGGCUUGGACCCGCCCCCAGGAGGGUGCCAGGAAGUCGGUGCUCGGCUUAAAGUUGGACCCAGAGGCGCCCGGGGCACGUCUGAGGGCGACCUAGGCGAAAUAACGACCUCGAAAGGGCCUCGCGCAGGGACGAGUGCCCCUCCCCAUCCAACCCGCCUCGUCAGCACCUUUCCAGCAGUUCGGCCACACAGUGGGUCACGAGGUGGGCGUGGCCCAGUCAGCCUGCGCGCGGCGCCACCCGCCCUCCCCUCUCCUGGCGCGCCACGUCCCCGGCCCCGCCCCCGCGAGCCACGCGGGGAACCCCAAUGUCGUCACCACCCUCCUGCACUCGCCUUCCCGCGCUCUCCAGAAAAGACGCGAAAGUGGUGACGUGUCCCGGGCUCCAGUGAGGCUGCGCAGAAGGCGUCGGCAACAGAACGUCCUGCGGCGCCGCCUGGUGGAAGAAAGAGCUGCCCAACCGGCCGGAAGGAGCGGCGCGGGCGGGAGGGGUACGUGACUUACGUCACCUCGCUGAGGAGGGGGGAAAGGGGGCGGCCGCCACGUGACCGGCCCCCGCCCGCGGCGUCAAGGCGUCUUUCUUUUUCUUUUCCACCUUUCUGUGGAGUAACCUUUAUGUCCUUUGUUUUAAGGGUAGGGCUUUUCCUUUUUGGAACUUACCGAAGUAAUACUGUUCAUCGGAGAAAUUUUGAAAAAAAAAAGGGAAAAAGAUAACGAAGAAAAUGAAUGCCAGCACUACACACACCCUUUCAUAUUGAUUUGUAGCUUUUCUGUUAACAUUAAACAAAACAUUCCAGUCUCAAGGCCAAGUUAGAAAAACACGACGGAAAAGGAAGGGAGAGCAAACAAUAGGCAAAAGGGUAAUAGAUGGUAUUUAAUGAGGAUUUCACACACAGUACCUAAUUUAGUACACACAUCAUCCAGGUGAGGUCACCGGACCAUAGGGUUGAAUAACUUGCCCAAGGUUGCAUAGUUAAUAAGCUGGUGGCAGAGUCAGGGUUUGAACCCAGGGUUUAAAAUCUGAACCUUAAGGUGGUGUGAAGAGGACAGUUGAAAAAGUGCUGGAGAGAAGGGAGGAAAACCGCAGGGAAUGUCGUGGUGGUUACAGAUAACACUUUUUACUUCUGAAAUUGUGGAGUUGGAACCAGUUGGUAGGAAGAAGGCCAGUGCCUCCAAGGGUUGGAGCAACUUCGUGGGAGCAUACCGUAAAGCACCUCAACCUAACACACUGCCUUGAAACGCUUAGGUGCAUGCUAGCUAUUGCUCUAGCAGCUGCUGCUGAUUGCUUUGUGUCACCGACCUCCAGCCCUGCCCUCCCAUUAGUGGCAGUGAGAGGUGGGAGUCACAGUACCAAGUCAGGCAUUAGGUCUUGCUAUGGAGAGUGCAGUCUGGAGUCCAGCUGCAUUUGUGCAGUCCAGUACAUGCUGCAUCAGUUUGAGGACAUAAAUGCAGAAUCUUGGACCCUACCCUAGAACCUCUGAAUCAGAAUAUGCUAGAUUGUAACUAGAUCCCUGGGUGAUGCCUAUGCAUAGAGCACUAUGGUAAAACACGGUAUCCUAGUCCCUUGGCGAGGCAGAUGUGAUGGUACAAAGAUGUGAAGGGAGCUUGCAGAGCUGGAUGGUGGGAAGGCAUGCAGACAAGGAGCAAGGUCUGUAAGGCAGUUUUUAAAAAAGCAUCCAGGGGUGCCUGGCUUGCUUAGUCAGUGGAACAGAUGACUCUUGAUCUCAGGGUUGUAAGUUCGAACACCAAGUUGGGUAUAGAGAUUACUUUAAAAAAAAAAAAAAAAACUUAAAAAAAAGCAUUCAAUAAGGAGUAUCAGAAAAUAUCACAAAAUAGGAAGAAAACUAGGAAGCCAGAAUCUGGGAGACAAAAGAGAAAUAAGCCAAGAAAUAAGCCAAGUGAGAAGGUUCAUCUUGGGAAAAUUCACCAAAAAAAAAAAAAAAAAAAAGACCCAGGAAUUUUUCUCUGUGGCUAACUUUUCUGUGUUGUAUGUGAUGAGUACUUGAGAGGGUUCAGGUCAUUCAAAGGGCUGGAGGAGGGCAGCCCCUGCCCAUUCUCUCACCUUUAGCAGAUACAGUGCGAUUUCCCUUGGUUAUUCUAAUAGAGAGCAGGUUUUGGGCUCUGACCUGGGAGAACCAGAUACUGACAGAAUAGUGCCUCUUAGAUGAUGUACACAGGCUGCAUUCUGUAGGUGGCCAGAGCUAGAUGAGUAGGAGGCCAGAGUGUUAUGGUGUGUGUGCAUAUAUAUGCAUGUACACGUGGGUUGGAAGGAAGGGUGGGUUACUGGCAGAAAGGACAUAAUAGGAAUCAGUGAAAGGGUGAACUUAUGUGACUGGGACCGAUGACAUCUGGUACCAUGAAAGAACUAGGUGGCAGGCCUACAGACCCUCACUUAUGUGGGUGGUUCUUAGAGUCAGAUUUUCAGGAGGUCUCUGAGUGACUUAUCGUUCUUCUAAGCCAGCGAGCUGUUGAGAUGACAGUAGUUCUGGUAGAAGCAGGGACAUGAUAGGUUAGAACCAAAGUGAUCUGGGUGGAGUGGCAGCAAGUUGUUCUCAUUAUGCCCACAUUAGGGGCCCAGCCAUUUUGUCUGGAGGAGUUAAGGUGGCAUCCCUCUCAUACCUAUUAAUAUUGUCUAAGGAUUGUCAGUCCGUGCACUAAACAGGUGACUACGUGGACAUGGAGGUUUUUGAGCUGUUCACUCCGGAAUACAAAUGGUGGCUGCAAUGUUGAAAGGCAUUAGCUUUUCUCCCAGAGAUGGGGGAUUCCUAUGACUAAUGGAGGUAUGCAAUGGAUAGCAGGUGGGAGCAUGGAGAGGUGGGGAGGCAGAUGUGUGCAGAGUUUGAAGAGCCUUUUUCUGCUGGGAGUAUCUGGGAUCAUCCUGGGGUGGUAGUGUGGGCUGAGUCUGAAAUGAGGUCAAUGCUAGUGGUGUCCCAGAGGUCUGGAUGUUGAGAGUGGGUACAGUACUCUUACUGGUACUUGUAGGCCCAUGCUUGACCUGUUAGAGAGAGUGGCAAAUUAGAAUUAUUGGUCAAUGUAACUCUGAACCCCAUUCCAGAUUUUGAUGGACUGUGAAGGUGGGUUGGGGUGGUCCAGGGUAAAGACCUUAACACUUCAGUACUGUUCCUCUUUGGGUGGAUCAUUUGUCCCAGCCAUGUGUUUUAUGGCCUUUGUGGGUAUUCUCAUCCGUGGCUAUAGUCAAGUACUACUAGAUCCAGGCAUUUGCCUGUUACUCACAGGUCUGUCUUGGUCAAAAAGCUGUAACCAAUGUCCUUAAAGUAGUCAGGUUGCAGGAUUUCCUGAAUGGACCAACCACUGUGUUUCCUUGGGUGGUCUUCCUUUUCAGCAGGCUCUGCUUUACCUAAUUUCUCUUCUCCAUAUCUAUACAAACCCUUUCUCCUUUAAAGCCCAGUACAAGUUCUAAGUUCUCUGUGAAACUUUCUGGAGUCUCCCCAAGGAAUUCCCCCACUGUCGAAAGCAUUUGUGAGCUCUCCACACAAGGUAUUCCCUCAAUCACACAGGAUAGACAACACUUAAUUUGCCUACCCUUUCCCCCUUGUAGGGACACAGCUCCCCUUUUACCAAAAAUGCCAAUCAGAGUCUUUCUUGUGGGUCUUUGCCCUUCGGAGGAGAGAGAGAGUAGAGCAGCCAAUCCCGCUCCAGUGUAAAAGUGUAAGUCUUACUUUCAGGUGCCUGAAAAGUCGGAAUUCUGGCUAGAGGGUGCUGCUCUGUGCUAAGAGUGAGUGAAGCCCCAGGAGAGACAGUGAUGGGUCAGAUGGACCUUGGCUCCAGGGUUCCUGAGGCCUAGUUACACCCUAGUGCCACCCAGGAUGGCUGUCCAGCCCUAUGUUAAAGUCCAUGAACCAUUCAUUCCCAUUUUUGCCUGAGCUGGUUAGAGUUGGGUUUUUGUUACCUGCAGUCAAAAGAAAACCAGGAGUCUCCUUUAUGUGGGAUUUUUCUUAUGUUCCCAAGGACAAUGGUUUACAAGGAAUUUAUACCAAAGUAACAUAAUAAAGUAGAAAGAACAUGCCCUUUGCACUAAAAUGAAACAUUUUUAAUGCCGUUUCCAGCAAGAAAAACAGGCUGUCUCUUUAACUUAAAAGAAGAGGUGAUAUCUAAACUCAAACAGUAAGGACUAAAUGAGAAAAAUGGGAAUAUAAAUGAAAGUGUCUGGCACACAGGAGGCAUAUAGGAAAUGGUCACUCCCUUCUUUUCUCCCUGAAGACAGGCUUCCACUUCUGUGUCCUUCAGUAUCACCAUUCUGUGAUCAAUGAGCUCAAAAACAGGAAUUGAACCUACCAGCUCUUAAACUUGUUGUUGAAUAAAGAAGGAAAUAAAUAUCUAGGGAACAAGUAAUUAGAAGCAUUAGUUUGAAAUGUCAAUAAUCCCUUGAUACCUGGACUUCUUUUUCCUAUUUCACUAUUACUUAAAUCUCCCCAAAGGCUUAUAAUUUUAUAAUCAGGCCAACAUGAGAUAUACUUUGGAAAAACUAGUGACAUUGUGCUUUUAUUUGAGAACAAAAUAAAUGGGCAUGACUGGAACUCUGUCAGGAUGGUCCUUAACAUUCUGCCCUAAACAGGGUAUUAUUAACUUUCCAACACUAUUGGUGUAAGAAGUGCUGCGAACAUCUUAGAGAAUUAGAAAAAGUUUGAAACAAACUCUAAAGGUGAGUUCUUUAAGAAGGAAAGAGAGCUGGUUUCCUUUUUGUUCCUUUAAAAAUUCUAGCCAGAAAUAUCACCCAAUUUAUAACAAAGACCAUACACAGCAGCACCAAAAAGGCCAUUUACAAGAAGAGUUUUUCUUCAACAGAAUCCACUUGAAUGCGAUAAGAAAUUGCAUCUUGGCUAAGAGCAGUUCACUAGGCGACAGGGCCAUCUAAGUGCCUAACUAGUAUUUAAAUUGUCAAGGGUUGGGAAUGUGCAAAUUUAGCAGCAAAAGACUCUUGUUUUUUUCCCUUGUCAAGGGAAAGUGAUGGUGGUCAGAGGCGCCAGUUCCAAGGGCUGGUCCAGCGGUGGCCGCUGGUCUUGGUAUUCUGCCACAUGCCCGUUCCGGUGGUGACCGUACUCAAACUUGAUCCGAAGCUCACCAAUCUUGGACUGAGGAAGGAUAUCUGGAAUCCACUCAAUGAUGAACGGUGUUGGCUCCUUUUGAUCUGGGGAAGUGUUGCCUGAAGACCAAAAAAAAAAAAAAAAAAAAAAAAAGAACACUGAUUAGUACCAUUCCAAAAUUUGAGGCUGGACAGAUGUAACUCUGUUCAGUAAUAAAAAAAAAAGAAAAAAAAAUUAAAACAACAACAACAAAAUAGGAGAGAGAAACAGUGGAGAAGAAUCAAGGGAAGGGAAAAGUGAUUACUGAUGUAUCUAUCCAAAUAAAAAUUUCAGGGAACUGUCUGGCACCCUCAAAUGAAAUAAGACCCAGCCUCCAUGGAAAUAGAGCCAAAAGAAUACUAACGAGAGCCCAGAUUAAGGAGAAAAGAUAGCUGGAUGAGAUUAAAAGGGAGACUAGCAAGAAAAGGUUAAGUUUCAAGGAAACCAGAAACAAUUAAAAUUACAUGGUUCUAAAACAUACUACAAACCCAUAAUAACCAAAGGAGUGUGGUACUGGCAUAUGUCUAGACAGAUUAAAUGAACAAAACAGAAAGAUCCAAAGUGGACACAAAUAGAACAGGAAUUUAGCAUAAUAUAAAGGUUGCAUUUUCAAUUAGUAAAAUUAGUGAUUAGUAAUUUCAGUUAGUAAAAUACAAGUGUUUCUUAUAAUAGUGUGCAUCAAUUAGGUAGCUAUCUGGAAGAAAAUAAAAGGUGGCAGAAUCAUACCUCAUACCUUACAUCAAAAUAAAUUCCAGAGGAUCAAAGAUUUAAACAUGAAAAACUCAGGUUACAGAAUGCUUUCAAAAAAAUAUAAAACACUAGCAGAGUCCAACUCUUGAUUUUGGCUCAGGUCAUGAUCUCACGGCUCACGGUUCAUGAGAUCUCUCUCUCUGACCUUUCCCCCACUAGCAUUCAUGCACUCUUUUCUCUCUCAAAAUAAAUAUUUUACUAAAAAAAAAAACUAGCAGAAUUUAAAAGAAUACAAUAUACCUUUCAGAACUAUGGGGCAUCUGGCUAGUUCAGUUGAUAGAGCAUGUGAAUCUUUUUAUUUAUUUAUUUAUUUAUUUAUUUAUUUAUUUUUUAAUGUUUAUUUUUGAAGAGGAGAGAGAGAGACAGAGCGUGAGUGGGGGAGGGACAGAGAGAAAGAGAGACAUGGAGAAUCUGAAGCAGGCUCCACGCUCCAAGCUGUCAGCACAGAGGCCGACAACAGAGCUCAAACCCACAAACGGUGAGAUCAUGACCUGAGCUGAAGUCAGACGCUUAACUGAGCCAUCCAGGAGCCCCAGAGCAUGUGAAUCUUGAUCUUGGGGUCCUGAGAUCCCAUGUUGGGCACACUGCUUACUUAAAAAAAAAAAAAAAAGAAAAAAAAGGGCAAAGAAAUUUUGACACUUGCUACAACAUGGAUGAACCUUGUAGACAUUAUAGUAAGUAAAAUAAGUCAGAGAAAGGAAAAAUACUGUCUGAUUGUACUUACAUAAGCUGCCUAAAGUAGUCAAAUUAAUAGAGACAGAAAAUAGAAUGGUUGUUGCCAGGGACCAGGGGUGAGGUGAGAGUGGGGAGUUACUAAUUAAUGGUACAGUUUCAGUGGAGGGCGACAAAAAAGUUCUGGAGAUGGAUGAUGGUAAUAGUUGCACAACAAUGUAAAUGUGCUUCAUGCCUGAGAACUAUACACUUAAAAAUGGUUAAAAUGGUAAACUAUUUUAUUUAAAAAAAUUUUUUAAGUUUAUUUAUUUAUUUUGAGAGACAGAGAGUGAGCAGGGGAGGGGUAGAGAGAGAGAAGAGAGAGAGGAUCCCAAGCAGACUUGGCACUGUUAAUGCAGAGCCUGAUGUGGGACUCGAACCCAUGAACUAUGAGAUCACGACCUGAGCCGAAGAGUCGGACACUUAGCCAACUGAAUCACCCAGGCACCCCUAAAAUGAUAAUUUUUAUAUUCUGUAUGUUUUAUAAAAUUUUAAAAAGUUAAAAAAAUAUUGUUUAAGAGGCACCUGCGUGGCUCAGUCGGUUAAGCGUCCACCUUUGGCUCAGGUCAUGAUCUCACAGUUCGUGAGUACGAGCCCCACGUUGGGCUCUGUGCUGGACCCUGCUUCAGAUUCUGUGUCUCCCUCUUUCUCUGCCCCUCCCCCACUCAUGCUCUCUCUCUUUCUCUCUCUCUCUCUCUCUCUCUCAAAAAUGAAUAAACUUUAAAAAAAUUUAAAAAAAUAAUGUUUAAGGUAGAUAUGGAAAGCUGUCAUGAUAAUAUUUUUAAGUUAAAAAAGUAUCUGAGGUAUGAGCCCAUGUUUUGCAAACUCUUUUCAUGUGUAGAACAGAGUCUAAAAGGAGAUAUGCCAAAUUCUUUUUUUUUUUAAUGUUUAUUUUUGAGACAUACACACACACACACACACACACACACACACACACACACACAGUGCGAGCAGGGGGAGGGGCAGACAGAGAGGGAGACACAAAAUCUGAAGUAGGCUCCAGGCUCUGAGCUGUCAGCACAGAGCCUGUUGCAGGGCUCAAACUCACAAAUUGCGAGAUCAUGACCUGAGCCGAAGUCAGAAGGUUAACUGACUGAGCCACCAGGCACCCCUAAAAUCUUAAUGGUGAUGUCUUCUAUGGUGCAUGAGCUUAUAGGUGGUUCACUUUUCUCCUUUAUGGUCUAUAAUGAAAUCUAUGAUUUCUCUAUAAUGAAUAUGUAUUACUUCUAUUCUAUUUAUUUUUAGAGAUUUUAUUUUUAAGUAAUCUCUAUACCCAACAUGGAGCUCAAAUUUACAACCCCAAGAUCAAGAGUCAUGUGCUCCACUGACUGAGUCAGCCAGGUGCCCCUUAUAAUUUUAUUUUAAAAGCAUUGUUUCAAAAGAAACAAAACACUUUAUUCCAUGAUGGCCUUUACAAGAUGAAUGCAUGUGUCUUCUUUGUUUAAGGUCAAGAUCCAAUGUCUAGGACAGUUCAAUGCACACAGCUAACCUUCAAAGGAAAAUGCGCUAUUGAAAGCACAAUUUCACUUACCAACUUUGAGAAAAGUUUUUAGUUCCAAAGGUCGCAGCACAGGUUGCUUUUCUAUACGACCAUAGGUUUCUGCUAUGCUCUCUACUUCCACUUUAGGGCAUUUAAACAGCUCGUAAGUCCCAUCCCGGUUCUGGAUAAAACUCCGAGUGAUUUCCAAGGGCAUCUGGACAUGAAGUCAAUACCAAGAAAGGUGAGAAAGGAAAAACUUUCAAAGUAGACAAACAUUUGGAUGACAACAGAUCUUUCACUUAUUCUUUUUUGUUACACUCAAAUUAAUGGAAACCUCCUCUUGUAUUUUCAAGUAAAUGCUAUCAAGAAAUCUGCCUUUUCUCCUUUACAUCAUUCAUGACUUUCCUUUUUUUCUCUAUAACUUUAAUUUGAACCCCAGCCAAACUAUCUAUGAACUGAACCUCUAACAUCUUCAUGGCUAUGCAAUGGCUGCUGGCAUAGACUUGCUCUCAAAUCAGUUUUGUUCCCUUCCCUCCUGCUCUGCUAGCAUGAUUCUUCUCCUAAAAGCUCUACUGACAGCAUCUACAGCUGGCCUAACACCUUGUAUGCUUCACACCAUCUUUGGGACUAAGCCAGACAGAACUUGAAUUGGUCUUUGCCACUAAACAGCAGGGCAUAUAGCCUUUCUCAUCGGCAAAAUUCAGUUAAUACCAACACAUGGUUGUGAGUUUGAAUGAGGCGAUGCAGGUAAGUAAUGCCCAAACAGACCGACACUCCAAGAUUAUCAAUUAGUUCUCUUCCUUCACUUGACAGUGAUAGUGCCUCCCUGAACACUUGCUCCAGGCGAGAAGCUAUCUCUGUAACAUCCAACAAUUAAAGAGGUUCCUCAAGUGCCUUUAGUGCUAACACAGGGCUUUUCUAGGGUUCACAUGUAAGUUUUAUAACUACCAAACAACUUAUUCUUUUUCUGAAAGUAACAAUGCCUUGCAAUUAAGCUAAUCUUAAUGUAUCAAACCACACUAUGCUGAAUUUUCUACAAUAUUCCAUUACUGUAGGAAGGGAAAAGCCUCAAAUUUUCAGGAUCUGCUUGAAAAAGAAAAUGUUUAAAAAUGUCUAAUAUUCCUCUUGCAAAAAAGAAUGCCAAAUAAUUAAGGGUCAUUUUUCUAAUGAGAACUAAAUUGCAGUUUGUGGAGAAGCAUUUAAUUGUGCUGAGUUCAUUGAGCUCACAAAUAGUAUAUUAUCUCAAAUUAUUUAUAUAAUUUCUAGCUCCCUGCCGGUUAAUGUAGGGCUCACCAUAGCUAGUAGGGGUUCAUUAUCUAAUUCACAAGAAAAAUGAUCUCUGUUUUCUGAUCCUAAAGACAAAGAAAAAGGAUAUUCCAAUUUAAGAUACUUUUUCAAACCACAGGGAAUACCCAUUAAAAUCACAGUCAGAACUAUGCAGCCAUGAAUAUUUCUGAAUAAUCUUUUAGUAUGAAAAAAAGGAAUUCUCUUCAGUGUCUAUAACUCAAGGAAUUGGUGCAAACAUACUUCCUGCACUUGCUUCUCUUUCUUCCCCUCUUUGCCCUCCUACUAUUGUAGAAAUACACUCUUACCUCUGGGGUAUCUAAGAUUUGUUUAACUUGCAGGAUAUUAGUGAUAUGCCAGGUAUACUUGGAAAAGGUUCCCAGUGGCAAGGCGUCUUUCCGAACAAAAGCUUCAAUGUAAGAAGGGAACAAGAUUAGACUACCAAAAAAAUAACAUUCUCUUUCAUUGCAUUUGUUAUCCAGUUUUUAGAAAGUUCAGUGCAGUGCUAUCCUUUCCUUAUAGAAUCUCAGCACUGUUAAAAAAGAAAUUCUAGAGGCAAAUCUGUAAUAGGUUUGGCAGAAAUGUGGUAAAUCAAAUGAUAUGGAUUUCUGCUAACAGAUGUCUCUGAUGCUUCUUUGAGAUGCUACUUAUUUUUGCUACCUUAGCAACUGAUUUCUUUGUUUGGUAUAGCUACACGCACAGGACUCCAUUAUAAAACAGCACCUUACAACCUCUCACAACUUUAGAUAUACCAGAGAUCAAAUUAUAGUUCUUAAAAGAAUUACAUGGAGUUUAGACCAGUUAACAUGGUUGCCAACCUGUUGCCUUGCCUGAAGGAUUAUAAAGGGGUUUCACCAAAAGGCCUGCAAAAAUAGCUAAAGGAUGGGUUAAAAGUAAUGUAUUAGGAGGCCUAAAGUUUAAGGUGAAAGAAAGAAUCAACACUGCCUCAGAUAGAUAAGCUGUGAAGACAAAGAUUUUUAUAGCCCUAAACAGUGAUUCACAGACAGAAUUCAACCUCAAAGAUAGAAUUAAACCUCAGUCCCUAUUAUAAUCAUCAAAUAACUACUAACUAAAGAAAUAGCAUUGAUGUCCAGCUAUAGUUACUCUUGGGCUAUUUAUCACUGAGCUAUCUAUUCUUCCUCCUCUCUCCCUCAUUUCCUUACACUACCUAAUAAGUAUCAUGAAAUUUCUAGUAGAAGAUGUAAUAGAAAACCAAGAAAUAAGCACCAGAAUAAUGUAAUUAUAAAGGGUUCCAAGCCUAAGAAUUACUCUAAAAAUAAAAUCUUCCUUCAUCAAAAUUGGGAACCAUGAAAAACAAGUUUUUGUUUUUGGUACAGAUUGUAAUAUGCUUCCAAGAAGCCAGUGCAAAUAACAACUGGAACUUACAAUGCUUUUGCUGAAAUUGGUUCAUAUCUAGAAAAUGUCAAACUUCUUAGUGGGCACCCUCAUUACACUUCACUGUCCUUUUACCAAGUUUGUGCUUUCUGAAUUUUUCCAUUAACUCUUACUGGAAUAAGUAUGGUACCUUUGAGAGGAGUGAUCAUUAUUCCAAGAGCUGACUGGCUAAGGCUUCAUGUUUUGAGCAUGUGACUAGAAGUCCUAAUCCUGAAAAUACCACACGGUUUCUCUAAGCAUAAUUCUCUAAGGUCAAGAUAUCUAUUGUUGUUCCUGAGGAAAAAAAUCCCAUACCUGUGGUGGAGUUGGGAAGCCGUUUCUUUGCACUUCCUAUAGAUAUUCUUUGUUGCAGAGCAUCAAAAAAGGACUGAGGAAUGUGGAACACCAGUGGCUCUGGUUUGCCUAUAUCAAAUAAGAAGAAACUCGUUUAAAGAAGCUCAGUGGGCUUUCUGACACGUAGGGAGAAGUGGAAGAAAUGGAAUUGGAUGGCACUAACAACUAAAAAUGCCACUGAGACUGCUUUAUACAGAGGCAAAAAGGCUUUGAUUGACCUUUAUAAGUCAAGCACUGUCACCAGCCCUACUCUUGAUCUCUAUUAUGACAAAUACAACAGACCCUUGUCAUCUGCCAAAGAUAACUUUUCAAUUCCUCAGUUUCAUAAACACCAGCAUAGCCCAGACUUUUCCCUUUAAAGAGUAUCUGAAAUGAGGUGAGCUCCAUACCCAGUGUGAUGCUUGAACUUACAACCCUGAGAUCAAGAGUCUCAUGCUCUACCAACUGAGCCAGCCAGGCACUCCUCAGAUGCCUUUUUGAAACAAAGGUCAAACCAAGAAAAAUAAAAAUAAAAGGUUUUCUAGAAGUCCACAGAAAGACUUUACGUUCUUUCAAAUGUUUUUAUAUACUUUAUUGAAUGCAGAAUGUCAAUGACAAAACUGUCACCGCUUCUGAGUCACUAAAACAGUGAUAUAUGGACAGUUUGGAAAAGUCACCAUACAAAGGAAUCUUAAAAUUUUUCAUCUUGAACUUAGAUUGUGGGCUACAUGCAGAGAUCAUGACUGGUCUAAAAGAAGUGCUAACUAACUAGAACUCAGGUGAUGUGAUGCCAGGGUUUAGACGUACAAAUUACUCUUGAAAAGCCCACAUAAAACAUACAGAUUCACAGUCCAGGAGAGAUGAUGAUGACUUUGACAAAGGUAGUGGUAAUGGAGAUGGUGAGGAGGAGUGGUAAUGGAGAAUGGGACAGAGAGGGACCACCGUGUGCAUCUUACAUUAUUGUUGGCAUUCUAUCUUUGAUUUGGGGAGGUCAGUUUAUAGGUACUUAUUACAUUACUUCAAAUAGUAAAUAAAUACAAUUUUAACAGGAAAAAAACAGACUAUUUUAUUUAUUAUUUUUUUAAGAGAAAGAGAGCAGGGGAGGGGCAGAGAGAGAAAAUCCCAAGGAGUCCACAUGCUGUCAGUGCUGAGCCCAAUGCGGGGCUCAGUCUCAUGAACUGUGAGAUCAGGACCUGCGGUGUGAUCAAGAGUCAGACACUAAACUGAGUGAACCAUCCAGGCAGACCCAAACAUAGACUCUUUGAAACUCUUAAUUUAUUUCAUAUUUCUAAAAAGUAACUUCUGAAGUUUUAUUUAUUCUGAAUUAAUAUAAACAAAAUUAAACAUGUAUUGUAAGAUCUCCAUUCUUGUCUCUUCCCUUACCAUGAAGCCGUAACUAUUAUAAUCUUUCAAAACUCAUCUCCUGUUGAUUGUCUCCUUUUGAGCUACUAUUCACUUUGGAGUGUCUUAUUUAUUUAUUUAUCUAUUUAUUUAUAAAUAAUUUUUUCAAGUUUAUUUAUUUAUUUUGAGAGAGAGACAAAGAGAGGGAGUAGGGGAAGGGGAAGGGCAGAAAGCAAGGGAGAGAGAAUCCUAAGCAGGUUCCGUACUGUCAGCACAGAGCCUGACAUGGGGCUUGAACCCACAAACCGUGAGCUCAUGACCUGAGCCAAAACCAAUAGUUGGAUGAUCAACCGACUGUGCCACCCAGGUGCCUCGUAUGUAUGUAUGUAUGUAUGUAUGUAUGUAUGUAUUUAUGUAUUUAUUUAUAAAAGAUUUUAUUUUAUUUUUUUAUAACUUUUUUUUAAUGUCAAUUUUUGAGACAGAGAGAGACAGAGUGGGGAAGGGGAAGAGAGAGAGGGAGACACAGAAUCUGAAGCAGGCUCUAGGCUCUGAGCUGCAAGCACAGAGCCCAAUGUACAGCUCUAACUCAUGAACUGCGAGAUCAUGACCUGAACUGAAGUCAGUCACUUAAUGAACUGAGCCACGCAGGUGCCCCUAAAGAUUUUAUUUCAUUUUAUUUAUUUAUUUUUAGAGACACAGAGAGAGUACAAGUGGAGGAGGGCCAGAGGAAGAGGGAGAGAGAAUCCCAAGUAGGCUCCACAGUCAGCAUGGAGCCGAUAUGGGGCCUGAACUCACGAACUGCGAGAUCAUGACCUGAGCAGAAACCAGGAGUUGGACGCUUAACCGACUGAGCCACCAGGCGCCCCCCUAAAGAUUUUAUUUUUAAAUAAUCUCUACACCCAAUGUGGGGCUCAAACUUGCAACCCUGAGAUCAAAAAUCA